UACGAAGGGGGCAAGCGUUACUCGGAAUUAUUGGGCGUAAAGCGUGCGUAGGCGGCUUAGCAAGUUGGAAGUGAAAGCCUAGGGCUUAACCUUAGAAUUGCUUUCAAAGCUGCUCUGCUAGAGUACUAGAGAGGAUAGCGGAAUUCCUAGUGUAGAGGUGAAAUUCGUAGAUAUUAGGAGGAACACCGGAGGCGAAAGCGGCUAUCUGGCUGGAUACUGACGCUGUUGCACGAAAGCGUGGGGAGCAAACAGG
rnacentral:rRNA from 1 species